rnacentral:rRNA from 1 species
UAUCUGCAUGCCCUUAUGAAAAUAGGGAGGCCUUCGAGGGUGAUACACAGGUGCUGCAUGGCCGCCGUCAGCUCGUGUCGUGAGGUGUAGGGUUAAGUCCCGAAACGAGCGCAACCCCUAUUCUAUGUUACAAGUGUCUUAGAAAACCGCCUCGGUAAAACGAGGAGGAAGGUGGGGAUGACGUCUGGUCCGCAUAGCCCUUAUGUCCUGGGCCACACACGCGCUACAAUGGCCGAUACAGUAGGAAGCCAAAUCGUAAGAUGGAGCUAAUCCUUAAAGUCGGUCUCAGUUCGGAUUGAGGUCUGAAAUUCGACCUCAUGAAGUUGGAUUUGCUAGUAAUCGUAGAUCAGCAAUGCUACGGUGAAUACGUUCUCGGGUCUU